ensembl:lincRNA D6Ertd474e DNA segment, Chr 6, ERATO Doi 474, expressed
GAAGUAUAGAAUGGCUUUUCUCAUAGGACAUGUUCUUAGGAAGGGCUCAGGAGAAGCAGGAAGCCACUGCAGGUGAAAUGGAACAGAUUCAGGAUGCUUCACCGUGUGCUCCAUAAGCUACUCAUCUGAUGUUUCAUAGGAAGCAGAAGAAAUUCCCAGCAAAGUGACCUGUGUUGCAAGACUCAAAAGAGGGAGAGAGAGAGUUGGCUCAGCUGGUGAAGAGCUUGAUGGACAUGAAGACCUGAGCUUGGAUCUCCCAACAUCUUUGUGAAAGGACGGGCACAGCCCCUGAAUCUCCAGAGCUGUGACAAUGGAAGCAAUGGAUCCUCAGAGCUUGCUGGCCAGCCAACCUGCUUGAGUUCAGCUCUAGAUUCUGUGUGACCCUGACUCAAAAACUAAGGCGUGGAGUGACUGAAGAAGAGAUCUGAUGUCAACCACUUGUUCUUAUUUACACACACACACACACUCUUAAAUAAAAAUUAAAUUAUUUGUUG